rnacentral:rRNA from 1 species
AAUAGCCUAACGGCUGAACCAGCAACUUGGAAGAAUGUAUAGCAAUAGCUUAUUGCACCAAUUGCAAUAUCGACUCUGUCGAAUAAAAUUCUAGGUAGAAUUAUGAUAAUGACAUUAUCUACUUAUGUGUCUUGACCAAAUUACGUGCCAGCAGUCGCGGUAAUACGUAGAAGACUAGUGUUAUUCAUCUUUAAUAGGUUUAAAGGGUACCUAGACGGUAAACAAAGCCUUCAGGGACUGGUUUACUAGAGUUACUUAUGAAGGGGUAUUAAAGUACUAGUGGUGUAGAGAUGAAAUUCUGUGAUACCUUUUUUCGAAAGAAAAUAAUGGCACAGGUAUAGGCGAAAGCAUCCCCUUAUGUGAUAGCUUUGUGUAGCGAACAGGAUUAGAUACCCUGGUAGUCAAAGCAGAAAAUGAUGAGUGUCAUGGAUUAGUUUAUUCUAUAAAUGAAAGUGUAAGCACUCCACCUCAAGAGUAAUUUGGCAACAUUGGAACUGAAAUCAUUAGACCGUUUCUGAAACCAGUAGUGAAGUAUGUUGUUUAAUUUGAUAAUCCGCAAAAAACCUUACCAUGAAUAUUUACAAGCGUUGCACGGCUGUCUUCAGUUAAUGUCGUGAGACUAUGGUUAGCUCCAUUAAAUUAACGUAAACCCUUACUUUAUUUUCAUAUAAAGUAGUUCUCCGCUAUAUUGGAUAAGAUAACAGGGACUAAGACAAGUCAUCAUGGCCUUAAUGUUGUGAGCCUUUACAAAAGGAUGUGAAAUUGUGAAAUUGAGCUAAUCCCCUAAAACUGGCUAUACAUUUACAUG